CAUUCCCCCCUGUCCCCUAUCCCCUCGCUCUGAGCCUCUGAGCACUGUUAUAUGUCCCUCAAUCCGUUCCGCGGAGCUCUCAAAAAAUCUCGAUCUGUUUUCUAAUCAUCGCCGGAAAUGGAGAAGAGAAACGCGGAGUUGCUGUUACUUUGGCUGGCGGCGGCGCUGCUGUGCUGGUGUUCGCAGGAGGGAGCGGCGGAGAGUGCUAAGCAUACACAGAAUUCAGCCGCUACUGAUAUGGGGAUCAACGGCUCCCAAUAUUCACAAGCGCAGCGGUUCCCAGGCCAUAACCGCCAACCUCUUCGAGGGACUGAAGAAGAUGGAGCGCAGAGAUUGGUUGACAGUGCAGAAACACAAAGAUAUGCUUCUGUUAAAGCUAAUGAGAUGGGAGAUAUGGCAUCUGAAAAACUAGGAGGCUUCAAAAACAUUGUUUCGGACAUGGCUGGUGGUUUGAAGGCAAAAGUGAAGGAUAAAGCUUGUGAUGCCUAUGCCUUUUGCUCUGAGAAAGCAGAACAAGGAAUAGACAUGGCUUCAAACGUAUCCACCGAUGCCGAAGAAACCGGGAAAGGUGCAGCAAGCAGUUCUUAUGGACAUGCCUCAGACAGGAUGAAUCAGGCUGGGGACAUGAAAGAUAAAGCAUCUGGCAAAGCCAAACAAGCAAUAAAACAGGGUUCAGAUAAGGCUGCCUAUGAUGAAAAGAUUGAAAAAUCAGAAGCCUUUAAAAGAUACCAGCAUGCCAAAUCAGAGGUUUAUGAAACUUGUGCAUCUGCCAAGGAUACCAUGACUGAACAAGCCAAGGACAAAUAUGAACAAGCCAAAGAGAGAGCUUCACAAGCUACUGGUGAUCUUGGAGCAAAGAUGAGGGAACCUGCCCCUCUUAAAUCAUAACAAAAGCUGCACUCAAAUUUUGUUUAAGAUCUUCCAACACUGCAUUUGACAAGAACAAGGUUGUUCAACCUCAAACCUCACAAGAGAACUAGAGUUGGGUCUUGGGUCCCUACUUCACUGCAGCGUGCUGGUUCAGGUCGGGUGAAUUUAUGAGAUUCAAGCUAAGAUAUAAUCAAAUGAGCAGUAAAAUCUGAAUAAAUUUUUUUUUCUUAAAGAAGAUCAGAGUUUUUCCUACUUUGAAGUUAGAGGUUUAAUUUUGUACCAGUCUCCUAGUUAGAAGAAUUUAUGGCAUAUCUUCCAUUCGAAAUGGAAAUUUAACAUUACAGCGUCCAACGUCUGAUGUCUGUACCAAGGUUGUUAAUUAGUAGGGAGUAGAUAGCUGAAUCGUACGUUGCCAAUAUAUCCUCACUGUAAAGCAAAACCUUUUAACUAGCUCCUAUAACCUAUAAAGCUAUAGUAUUUAAUUGCAUGGUUGUUCCUUUCAGUUGUGUUUCCAAGAAAUCUUUAGCCAUGUAAUGUUAUAUGUAUUCUAU